rnacentral:SRP_RNA from 1 species
UCUGGGCAUGGUGGCAAUGCCUGUAGUCCCAGCUGCUUGGGAGGCUGAAGCAGGAAGAUCAAUUGGGUUGGGAAUUCUAGGCUGUAGUGCACUAUGCCGAUCUAAGUUCAGCAUCAGUAUGGUGACCUCUCUGGAGUGGAGCACCACCAGGUCGCCUAAAAAGAGGUAAAAUGGCCUAGGUCAGAAACAGAACAGGUCAACUCCUGGGCUGAUAAGUAGUGGGAUCAAGCCAAUGAAUAGCCAUUGCAUUCCAGCUAAGCAACAUAAAUAGACCCUGUCUCU